CAACAUAAGAGGCAAAAUUCACCGAAAGGGAAUGACGCAAAGCCAUGGAUCUACAGUCUCACUUUUCCGGUGAGAUCAUGACAGCCAGGUUGCUGAA
rfam:Paenibacillus sp. FSL R5-0912, complete genome.